GACAGAGGGUGCAAACGUUGUUCGGAAUUACUGGGCGUAAAGCGCGUGUAGGCGGUUUCGUAAGUCGGAUGUGAAAGCCCUCGGCUCAACCGGGGAAGUGCACCCGAAACUGCGGAACUAGAGUCUCGGAGAGGAUCGUGGAAUUCUCGGUGUAGAGGUGAAAUGCGCAGAUAUCAGGAAGAACACCAAUGGCGAAAGCAGCUCUCUGGGACGGUACUGACGCUGAGACGCGAAAGCGUGGGGAGCGAACAGG
rnacentral:rRNA from 1 species